CCCCCCCCCCCCGCCUCCUCGCCCUUCCCCGUCUUUGCCGGGCCGGCACCCCCGUCGGAGGUGGGCCGGGGUCCGGCCCCGAGGCCGGCAGCGCUCCCGGCGGCACCCGUCCCCCAACAUUAUAUAACAGCUCUCAAGAGGAAGCUGCUAACAAGCCCAUCUGAUAUUCUGUGCCAGCUUUUUUAGUGGAGGCGUGCUGCAUUAGACUGAGCUCCACCCUGUUUGUCGAGGUAUAUUAUACGAGUAACACCAUAAAAUAUGGUUCAAUCAGAAUGAUAGCCUACUUAACCUCUUGGCACUCUUUUCAUUAAUUUCUUCUUGGAUCAAUUAUUAUG
rnacentral:lncRNA from 1 species